rnacentral:rRNA from 1 species
UACGAAGGGUGCGAGCGUUAUUCGGAAUGAUUGGGCGUAAAGGGUGCGCAGACGGCAUGUUAAGUCAACUGUUAAAUAUUCUGGCCUAACUGGAAUUCGGCGGUAGAAACUGGCGUGCUUGAGGAUGGAAGAGAGAAGUGGAAUUCUCGGAGUAGCGGUAAAAUGCGUAGAUCUCGAGAGGAACACCGAUGGCGAAGGCAGCUUCUUGGUCCAUUCCUGACGUUCAUGCACGAAAGCGUGGGGAGCAAACAGG